UACGGAGGGUGCGAGCGUUGUCCGGAAUCACUGGGCGUAAAGGGCGCGUAGGCGGUCUGCUAAGCGUGCGGUGAAAGCCUGGGGCUCAACCCCAGGUCUGCCGUGCGAACUGGUGGACUAGAGCACUGUAGAGGCAGGUGGAAUUUCGGGUGUAGCGGUGGAAUGCGUAGAGAUCCGAAAGAACACCGGUGGCGAAGGCGGCCUGCUGGGCAGUUGCUGACGCUCAUGCACGAAAGCGUGGGGAGCAAACAGG
rnacentral:rRNA from 1 species